AUGCUGAAAAUCGUUGACUUUUGCAAUCCCAAAUACAGGUUUGCAGUAAGCAUUGGCUACUGGCAUGACCCUUACAUCCAGCACUUUGUGAGACUGUCUAAAGAGAGGAAGGCCCCCAAAAUCAAGAGGCAAACCUUUGUUGAUCUCUUUAAGACUCACCUCCUCCACUGUGAAAAAAAGAAAAGAAAACUGGCCUCUAGGAGCUGGCCUGGUGCUGUGAGCCAGGCCCUAUGUUGUUGGAAACUGGAUGGCACCCACAGCAAGGCCAUGUGGCUCUGCUGUUGGACAUAAACAAUCGUGCAGACCACUCACAUAAGGGCACUCUGCAUCACUGAUGACAGGAGAUGACACAAGACCACGUCAUCAUUCUGUGUAAAAACAGACAAAAGCAAGGUCAGCGUGCCACCCACAGAAUACCAGACAUUCCCUUCUCCCAGCUGGAUAGAAGUGACUGUGGCUUCUUUACACAUUACAGCUUUAGCCCUACUCCAGCCAAACCUCCUUCUAGAAAAGAUACAGCUACCAGAUGAUAGAAUUUUCCCACCUCCUAUCAGCACUCAAUCCAGAACAAACCCCUGGACCCUCCCCCAAAUCGCCCAGCCAAAGCCCAGAUCCUAAAGGUCUAACAUCCUCCUACUGAUAUGCCCCUCACGGUGUGAGCCUUCCCUCCUUGCAACAAGUCAUAAACCCAACUUGCUUAACUACAGAGUGUUUCUGGUGGUCUUUAUUGGAGGACAUUCGUAACUGUAACAGUAAAAAAAGAUGGUUAAGUUUCUUGGGGGAAGUUAAGGGAGUCUCAUUCUGAGGGCUCCCAUUUUCUAUGUUAAGCAAUAGGUGAAAUUAUCUUUUUUAUUUAUUUUUUGAGACGGGGUCUCACUCUGUCAUCCAGGCUGGAGUGCAGCAGCAUGAAUAUGGCUCAAUGCAGACUUGACCUCCUAAUCUCGAGUGGUCCUCCCACCUCAGCCUCCCAUGUAACUGGGGCCACAGGCUCUGAUUCACCAUGCCUGGCUAAUUUAUUUAUUUAUUUAUUUUUGUAGAGGUAGGGGAUUACCAUCUUACCCAGGCUGGUCUCGAACCCCUGGCUCAAGCAAUCCUCCCACCUUGGUCUCCCAACGUGCUGAGAUUACAGGCAUGAACCACUAUGCCACAGUUGAGUUUAGAAUGUUUAUUAAAAAUCUUGUGACACUUAACGAUUAGUUCUAGGAAAUCUUACUUUUUAAUAUUGUGGUAUAAGGCCUGAAAUUAGAAUUCAUAUCAAAUUCUGUCUUGACAUCUAUUUAAAUCAAGAGGGCCUCGAAUGACUGAACUCCAAGCCCCACUCCCUGUCUGCUUCCGCAGAUGAAAUUCUCUGGCUAAACCUUCUCCUUAUUUUAGGGAUCAGACACAGUGCUUGCUUAUCCCCAGACAGUAGGUGUCAGUUCCCUGCCAGCUCAAGGACAAAUUAUUCAGACAAGCCAGUCACACCCUCCCGUGGGAACCAGGGCUCACUCUGCACUUCUGUUACUACAAAGCCUGCCUGCAGCAGCCCCUCCUUGUUACCGUGUUCCGGAGUGCAGCCUCCACAUUGCCCCGCAUGGUGUGCGGGUCCUUCUCCCCGGGACUGGAGUAUCUGUGACCAGUCAGCUGCUGUUGAUUGCAUCUGUCCUGCAUCAAGUGUUGUGUGUUUGGCCAUCCCCAUAUCUCUGGGGCGGGGACAGGAGUGGGGACAGGAAGGUGGGGGGAAGGAAUCCCCCUUUCAUCAAUGGAGUAAAUAGUCUGUCAAUAAGGCUGGGCCCAGUGGCUCACGCCUGUAAUCCCAGCACUUUGGGAGGCUGAGGCGGGCGGAUCACGAGGUCAGGAGAUUGAGACCGUCCUGGCUAACAUGUGAAACCCAGUCUCUACUAAAAAUACAAAAAAUUAGCCAGGCGUGGUUGCAGGCGCCUGUAGUCCCACGUACUCGGGAGGCUGAGAAAGGAGAAUGGCGUCAACCCGGGAGGCGGAGCUUGCAGUGAGCCGAGAUCGCGCCACUGCACUCCAGCCUGGGUGACAGAGCCAGACUCUGUCUCAAAAUAAAUAAAUAAAUAAAUCUGUGAAUAAAACAAUUGACAUCACAAACAGUAUGGCGCAUCCUUGAUUGAGGACCCCUGGUUAGCUUUAACUAGCUGCUCUUUUACUAAGCAGCUGGUCUAUUUAUUUAUUUAUUUAGAGACAGAGUCUUGCUGUGUAGCCCAGGCUGGAGUGCAGUGGCCCGAUCUCGGCUCACUGCAACCUCCGCCUCCCGGGUUCAAGCGAUUCUCCUGUAGUAGAGACGGGGUUUCACCAUACUGGCCAGGUUGGUCUUGAACUCCUGACCUUGUGAUCCACCCGCUUCGGCCUCCCAAAGUACUGGGAUUACAGGAGUAAGCCACCGCGCCUGGCCCAAGUAGCUGGUUUUAUGAGGCGGCAAGGACUGUUGAGAACAUCACUGCCAGUUGCUGGCCAGCUCGCCCUUCAGCUAAUGAGUUUUGUUGCCUCAGUAGGUGUUGCCACUUCUUCCCACCCUGACGAACGUUAAUGGACAGUGUCUCCUUGUGAGGUCCCAACAGGUGUGGCCUGUGUCGGCCAGGUGGUUUCCCGGGCUCCCACCUGGGGGCAGCUGCACCAGGACAUCCUAACGGGUGGGUGCUUGAGUUCCACUGGGAUGAGGCUCGGUAUCUUUGGUCUAGCCUCAUGACCAUCGCUCCAUCUCUGGCUGCUUGGGACAGCCAGGCAGACACCGUUGGGGAAAGUGUGCCCCAGCAUAGUCCUGGGGACAACCCUUUUUCCUUUCAACAAACACCAGGCUUUUUUGAACCAUGACCCGGGAAGAUUUAGGAAUGGCUCCCUGGUGGUCUCCUAACAGCCUACACACCCCUGGGCUUUGCUUGGCGCUGUUGCUUAUCUGCAUGCCAAAGAACCAAUCCUGUGGGCUAGGGCCUGGAUGGCCCCACCUGGACCCUAGACAAAAUUAACGUACUUGGGGGGAUCCCAGCACUGGGGAGAUUUGCCU
rnacentral:lncRNA from 1 species